rnacentral:lncRNA from 1 species
GACAGGGUCUUGCUCUGUUGCCCAGGCAGAAGCACAGUGAUGUGAUCAUGGCUCACUGCAGCCUCAACCUCCUGAGCUCAAGUGAUCCUUCCAUCUCAGCCUCCCAAGUAACUGGGACCACAGGCAGAUGCCACCAUGCCCAGUGACUCCGUUCACAUGCUCCCGUCUUGUCAUCAAGCCCUGUUCAUCUCUCACCAUCUCUCACCUGGACCAUUGCCAGUUUCUGAGCUGCCUGCUCUUGAAUACCAGCUUCCUGAAAAUAUCACCAAAACGAUCUGGUCCUCAGACAAAGCAGAGUCUAUUGCUCACUGCAGUAACAGAGAGCUCCGUCUUCAGAGUCUUGGUAACAUUUCGCUGAGAGGACAACCCAAUCACACUGUUUAGGAGAUUUUGGAUUCUGACUAAGGUGAGUCUGACAAUGUGGGGUCUUGGCAAAUAAUCAUGAUGAAAUAGUUUAAGAUGAGAAGACACAGCAAAGUAAGGAUUUUGAGGCAAAGGGUUCAAACAAUCUUAGAGUAUAAACUGCUUUUUAUUGAUGUAACUCUGAAGAUGUUCCUGGAGUAAAAAAAGGAAGUUAUUUGCAAAUUUUACCUCCAGGGUGAGAGCUUCUGGAAUAAGAAAUUUCUGCUGAUGAAGAUCGUAAACUGUGUGGGUGUAGCUGGUUUUGCCUGUCACCUCCAUGCCUCCUAUCUCAAACUCUUCCACUUCGUUAGCAACAGCAACAAUAAUAACAAUAGUUACAAUAUGAGUAGCAGCAAAUAUUUAGCUCUCAUUAAAUGCCAAGCACUGUCCUAAGCAUUUUACAAAUACUGUCUCAUUAAAGUUCGCCAUAAUCCUAUGGUAUUGGCACUAUUUUUGUCCACAUUAUACAAAUGUAAACACUGAAGCAGCUUAGAGAGGACAAGUUAUUUGACCAAGUCACACAGUACCUUCCCACUGUCAGAGUUCUAUCAGAAAUGAAAAUUUGAUAAUUGCACACUCUUGCAUAAACUUUUUCAAAGAUUCCCUGUUGCCUAAAACAUAAAAAUCUUGAUUUCUUCAAAUGGUA